CUCUCUGGCAACUACCACUGUAUUAUCUAUAUCUAUGAGUUUUGUUUGUUCAUUUGUUUUGUUUUUUAGAUUCCAUAUAUAAGUGAAAUCAUAUAUUUGCCUUUCUCUGACAUAUUCCCCUUGACAUAAGACCCUUAAGGUCCAUCCAUGUUGUCACAAUGGCAAGAUUUCAUUUUUUUUAUGGCUGAGUAAUAUUCCAUUGUGUAUAUAUACCACAAUCUUCUUUAUCCAACUUAAUUUGUAUUAUUUUGCUAUAACAAAACUGUAAUCAUAAGUAUAGCAAUUCUUGAGUUCUGUGAGCUGCUUUAGCAAAUUACAGAAGUUGAGGGAAGUCAUAGUAGCCUCUGAAUUUGUAGCCAGCUAGUCUGAAGGGAGGGUGGUCCUGGGAACCCACAAACUUGCGUCUGGUGUCUGAAGUGAGGGCUGUCUUGUGAGGACUGUUCACUCAAACUGUAGUUAGCUAAACUCACUGCAGUAGCUAAAUGCUGAGAAGUUGCCAGGACAGGAAGGACCACAUGGAAACUGAAAGUCCUUAUAGGUGAGUAUCAGACCCUGCCCUCAAGGCUGUGCUGUGGUCCUCUCCGGGCACAUCUAACCACUGGGCACCCACUUGAGGUUCAGCACCUCUUUCCCUCAGCACCAAGUCUCAGAGACCACUCUUGCCCUUCGAUUGCAGAGGUUUAAGGGGCACUGACCCAACACUCUGGGACUCAACACCGUCACACUGGCUGGGAAUGGGAGAAGCAUGGCAUAGGAGUUAAAGGUAAAGCCUUCAGCAACAGACAGACCUGGUGGAGCAGUCAAGGUCUCACCAGAAAGAAGAUAAAGAAGGACUCAUUAUAAAGGGGUUUCCUACAAAAGAGUGGGUGCCAGGCAACCACAAGGGAUUGGGUAGUAUCCUGGAACAGCAGCCUUAAUCUCAAAGACACAAGGGGAGGAAAUGGAAGGAGAGGAUUCUGUAGAGGCAGCCACUCUGUGGCACAGCCAGAUGAAAGCGACCUCUCCUUUCUUCUCCCUUAUUUGUGGGGCUGUCCAGUAACAGACCCAGCUGGAGCUAGAGAGCAAGGGAGACUGUCGAUGCAGCCCAUGCAGUCAUAGUGGAAAGUGUGGAGCUGCCAGGAGAGAGGAGGGGUUGCAUCAUAUGGUGACAAAAGAAUGAAUCCCACCCAGAGGAAGCAGAGCCAAGAAAUGGAUCCCUGUUGUUUGAGUCCUGGAUCAAAUCGUGCCUGGAUCCCCAGUGAGCCAAUAAAUUUUCCUUAUUGCUUCAGCCUGUUUGAGAUGGUUUCAUUUCACUUGGAA
rnacentral:lncRNA from 1 species